rnacentral:rRNA from 1 species
GUAUGGCGACCGGCGCACGGUGAGUAACGCGUAUGCAACCUGCCCGAUACCGGGGUAUAGCCCAUGGAAACGUGGAUUAACACCCCAUAGUACUUUUAUCCUGCCUGGGAUGGGAGUUAAAUGUUCAAGGUAUCGGAUGGGCAUGCGUCCUAUUAGUUAGUUGGCGGGGUAACAGCCCACCAAGACGAUGAUAGGUAGGGGUUCUGAGAGGAAGGUCCCCCACAUUGGAACUGAGACACGGUCCAA